rnacentral:rRNA from 1 species
AUUGAACGCUGGCGGCAGGCCUAACACAUGCAAGUCGAGCGGAUGAAGGGAGCUUGCUCCUGGAUUCAGCGGCGGACGGGUGAGUAAUGCCUAGGAAUCUGCCUGGUAGUGGGGGAUAACGUCCGGAAACGGGCGCUAAUACCGCAUACGUCCUGAGGGAGAAAGUGGGGGAUCUUCGGACCUCACGCUAUCAGAUGAGCCCAGGUCGGAUUAGCUAGUUGGUGGGGUAAAGGCCUACCAAGGCGACGAUCCGUAACUGGUCUGAGAGGAUGAUCAGUCACACUGGAACUGAGACACGGUCCAGACUCCUACGGGAGGCAGCAGUGGGGAAUAUUGGACAAUGGGCGAAAGCCUGAUCCAGCCAUGCCGCGUGUGUGAAGAAGGUCUUCGGAUUGUAAAGCACUUUAAGUUGGGAGGAAGGGCAGCAAGUUAAUACCUUGCUGUUUUGACGUUACCAACAGAAUAAGCACCGGCUAACUUCGUG